rnacentral:rRNA from 1 species
UGCUAGAGAAAGUAAAGUGGCGCACGGGUGAGUAACGCGUGGGUAAUCUGCUCCGAAUCGGGGAAACAUUGCGAAAGCGAUGCUAAUACCGGAUAACAUCUGGUUGGCUUAGGUGAACCGGAUCAAAGGUGGUCUCUUUAUAAAAGCUACCGUUUGGAGAUGAGCUCGCGUACCAUUAGCUAGUUGGUGAGGUAAAGGCUCACCAAUGCGACGAUGGUUAGCUGGUCUGAGAGGAUGAUCAGCCACACCGGAACUGGAACACGGUCCGGACUCCUACGGGAGGCAGCAGUGAGGAAUUUUGCGCAAUGGGGGAAACCCUGACGCAGCAACGCCGCGUGAGUGAUGAAGGCUUUCGGGUCGUAAAGCUCUGUCAGGUGGGAAGAACCCACCAAGUGUUAAGACCACUUGGUGCUGACGGUACCACCGAAGGAAGCACCGGCUAACUCCGGGCCAGCAGCCCCGGUAAUACGGGGGGUUCGAGCGUUAUUCGGAAUCAUUGGGCCGUAAAGGGCGCACAGGCGGAUAUGUAAGUCAGAUGUGAAAUCCGAGGCUAUAACCCGGAAGUGCAUAUGAAACUAUGAGACUCGAGUAUGGGAGAGGGAAGCGGAAUUCCUGGUGUACCGGUGAAAUGCGUAGAUAUCAGGAGGAACACCGGUGGCGAAGGCGGCUUCCUGGACCAAUACUGACGCUGAGGCGCGAAGGCGUGGGGAGCGAACAGGAUUAGAUACCCUGGUAGUCCACGCAGUAAACGUUGAUCACUAGGUGUAGCGGGUAUUGACCCCUGCUGUGCCGGAGUUAACGCAUUAAGUGAUCCGCCUGGGGAGUACGAUCGCAAGAUUAAAACUCAAAGGAAUUGACAGGGGCCCGCACAAGCGGUGGAGCAUGUGGUUUAAUUCGACGCAACGCGAAGAACCUUACCUGGACUUGACAUCUCGGGAAUUCCGUUGAAAGACGGGAGUGCCUUUAACGAGGAAUCCGAUGACAGGUGCUGCAUGGCUGUCGUCAGCUCGUGUCGUGAGAUGUUGGGUUAAGUCCCGCAACGAGC